CAGCAGCCGCGGUAAUACGUAGGUGGCAAGCGUUGUCCGGAAUUAUUGGGCGUAAAGGGCUCGCAGGCGGUUUCUUAAGUCUGAUGUGAAAGCCCCCGGCUCAACCGGGGAGGGUCAUUGGAAACUGGGAAACUUGAGUGCAGAAGAGGAGAGCGGAAUUCCACGUGUAGCGGUGAAAUGCGUAGAUAUAUGGAGGAACACCAGUGGCGAAGGCGACUCUCUGGUCUGUAACUGACGCUGAGGCGCGAAAGCGUGGGAAGCAAACAGGAUUAGAGACCCCCGUAGUCCCUGUCUCUUAUAC
rnacentral:rRNA from 1 species